AGUCUGGUGCCAGCAGCCGCGGUAAUUCCAGCUCCAAUAGCGUAUAUUAAAGUUGCUGCUGUUAAAAAGCUCGUAGUUGGAUUUCUGAUAUAAUAUUUCUGUCCCGCUGUGGUUACACAUGUGAGUGACGGAUAAUAUUUAUCUGUUUUGUGUUUUGUGUUGUGGUGUGAAAGCAUCAUAACAACAUACACAUCUUUUACUUUGAACAAGUUAGAGUGUUUCAAGCAGGCAUUUAUGCCUUGAAUACAUGAGCAUGGAAUAAUCAUCGAGGACUUUUAGUUCUAUGUUGAUUGGUUCUAGAACUAUAGUAAUGAUGGAUAGGGAUAGUUGGGGGUGCUAGUAUUCCGAGGCCAGAGGUGAAAUUCUUGGAUUCUCGGAAGACUCACUUAGGCGAAAGCAUUCACCAAGGAUGUCUUCAUUAAUCAAGAACGAAAGUUGGGGGAUCGAAGACGAUCAGAUACCGUCGUAGUCUCAACCAUGAACUAUGCCGACUAGGGAUGUGACAAUGUUGAAUUUUCGACUUGUUACGCACCUCAUGAGAAAUCAAAGUCUUUGGGUUCAUGGGGAAGUAUGGUCGCAAGGCUGAAACUUAAAGGAAUUGACGGAAGGGCACCACCAGGAGUGGAGCCUGCGGCUUAAUUUGACCCAACACGGGAAAACUUACCAGGUCCGGACAUAGUGAGGAUUGACAGGUUGAAGACCUUUCUUAAUUCUGUGGGUGGUGGUGCAUGGCCGUUCUUAGUUGGUGGAGUGAUUUGUCUGGUUAAUUCCGUUAACGAACGAGACCUCGACCUAUUAAAUAGUUUAUAUAAAAAUUCGUUUUUGUAUGAAACUUCUUAAAGGAACUGCUGCCGUUCUAGGCAGAGGAAGUACGAGGCAAUAACAGGUCUGUGAUGCCCUUAGAUGUUCUGGGCCGCACGCGCGCUACACUGAUAGAUUCAUCAAGUUUAUUUUUUAUCCUGUACUGUCAAGUAUGGGUAAUCUUUAAAUAUCUGUCGUGCUGGGGAUAGAUGAUUGUAAUUUUUCAUCUUCAACGAGGAAUUCCUAGUAAACGCAAGUCAUCAACUUGCAUUGAUUACGUCCCUGCCCUUUGUACACACCGCCCGUCGCUACUACCGAUUGAAUGGAUUAGUGAGCUUCAAGGAUUGAAUUAUUAUUGGUUCUCCAGUAUAUAAUUUGAGAAUUGAAUCAAACUUGCUCAUUUAGAGGAAGUAAAAGUCGUAACAAGGUCUCCGUAGGUGAACCUGCGGAGG
rnacentral:rRNA from 1 species